AACGUCUCGCAAUUUGCGAGG
rnacentral:snRNA from 1 species